rnacentral:tRNA from 1 species
GUUUAAAUAGCUUAUUUAGAGCGUGAUAUUGAAGAUAUCAAGGUGAUACAAUUAUUUUUAAACA